rnacentral:ribozyme from 1 species
CAAUGUCUUCUCUUUGUGGUUGCCGACCAG